AGAUUGAACGCUGGCGGCAUGCCUUACACAUGCAAGUCGAACGCGAAAGGGGGGGCAACCCCCCGAGUAGAGUGGCGAACGGGUGAGUAAUACAUCGGAACGUGUCCAGUAGCGGGGGAUAACCUCUCGAAAGAGAGGCUAAUACCGCAUACGACCUACGGGUGAAAGAGGGGGAUCGCAAGACCUCUCACUAUUGGAGCGGCCGAUGUCGGAUUAGCUAGUUGGCGGGUAAAAAGCCCACCAAGGCGACGAUCCGUAGCUGGUCUGAGAGGACGGCCAGCCACACUGGAACUGAGACACGGUCCAGACUCCUACGGGAGGCAGCAGUGGGGAAUUUGGACAAUGGGCGAAAGCCUGAUCCAGCCAUGCCGCGUGAGUGAAGAAGCCUUCGGUUGUAAGUAUCUUCGCGGACGGAAAGGACGUACGUAACGUAACACUAGA
rnacentral:rRNA from 1 species